CAGUAUUUGCAGCAUUUAACCCUUCCCACUUCUACGAGAUUAGUAACCAUGAUUAUGCUGGCUGUGUUCUCAUGCCAUACCAUUCUCCAAAAGUCAUAUAUUGUCUCCUGCAUUGGUCCUUGUGUAGCAAUGUAGUGAUUCGGCCUGUGAUAACCAUCAAUAUAAUUUCCAUUGAUGUAAUCGGAGUUUGUUUCUCCUUCAAUGGGCUGCAAUCUCACUCGAGAAUGAUCAUAUGCAAUGAUAUUCCCGUAUCUAUUUUUCAUUCUGUUCUCAUCUUUCUUAGCUGAAUCCCAUGGUGCAGACUGUCCUUCAAAGAAAC
rnacentral:lncRNA from 1 species